rnacentral:rRNA from 1 species
UACGUAGGGCGCAAGCGUUGUCCGGAAUUAUUGGGCGUAAAGAGCUCGUAGGCGGCUUGUCACGUCGGGUGUGAAAGCCCGGGGCUUAACCCCGGGUCUGCAUUCGAUACGGGCUGGCUAGAGUGUGGUAGGGGAGAUCGGAAUUCCUGGUGUAGCGGUGAAAUGCGCAGAUAUCAGGAGGAACACCGGUGGCGAAGGCGGAUCUCUGGGCCAUUACUGACGCUGAGGAGCGAAAGCGUGGGGAGUGAACAGG